rnacentral:rRNA from 1 species
CCUACGGGAGGCUGCAGUGGGGAAUAUUGGUCAAUGGGCGAAAGCCUGACCCAGCAACGCCGCGUGAAGGAAGACGGCUCUCGGGUUGUAAACCUUCUUUGACAGGGAAGAGCAGAAGACGGUACCUGCCGUAUAAGCUAUGUCUUACUACGUGCCAGCAGCCGCGGCCAUACGUAGGUCGGCAGUGCUGCCCGGAUUCACUGGGUGUAAAGGGCGUGUAGCGGGGCUGACAAGUCAGUUGUGAAAUCUGGCGGCUCAACCGCCGAACUGCAUUUGAAACUGUUAGUCGUGAGUAUCGUAGAGGCAGGCGGAAUUCGUGGUGUAGCGGUGAAAUGCGUAGAUAUUAGGAGGAACACCGGUGGCGAAGGCAGCCUACUAAACGACAACUGACAGUGAGGCGCGAAAGCGUGGGGAGCAAACAGGAUUAGAUACCCGUGUAGUC